CAGUCGCCACGGUAAUACGUAGGUGGCAAGCGUUGUCCGGAAUUAUUGGGCGUAAAGGGCUCGCAGGCGGUUACUUAAGUCUGAUGUGAAAGCCCCCGGCUCAACCGGGGAGGGUCAUUGGAAACUGGGAAACUUGAGUGCAGAAGAGGAGAGUGGAAUUCCACGUGUAGCGGUGAAAUGCGUAGAGAUGUGGAGGAACACCAGUGGCGAAGGCGACUCUCUGGUCUGUAACUGACGCUGAGGAGCGAAAGCGUGGGGAGCGAACAGGAUUAGAUACCCGGGUAGUCCCUGUCUCUUAUAU
rnacentral:rRNA from 1 species